rnacentral:rRNA from 1 species
UCUUUUGCUGACGAGUGGCGCACGGGUGAGUAAUAUAUAGGUAACGUGCCUCUUAGUCUGGGAUAGCCAUUGGAAACGAUGAUUAAUACUAGAUACUCCUUCUCAUUAUAAUUUGAGUCGGGAAAGUUUUUCGCUAAGAGAUCGGCCUAUAUCCCAUCAGUUAGUUGGUAAGGUAACGGCUUACCAAGGCAAUGACGGGUAGCGGGUUUGAGAGGAUGAUCCGCCACACUGGUACUGAGACACGGACCAGACUCCUACGGGAGGCAGCAGUGAGGAAUAUUGCACAAUGGAGGAAACUCUGAUGCAGCAACGCCGCGAGGAGGAUGACGCAUUUCGGUGUGUAAACUCCUUUUAUAAGGGAAGAAAAUGACGGUACCUUAUGAAUAAGCACCGGCUAACUCCGUGCCAGCAGCCGCGGUAAUACGGAGGGUGCAAGCGUUACUCGGAAUCACUGGGCGUAAAGGACACGUAGGCGGGUUGUCAAGUCAGGUGUGAAAUCCUACAGCUUAACUGUAGAACUGCACUUGAAACUGGCAACCUAGAGUAUGGGAGGGGGAGAUGGAAUUAGUGGUGUAGGGGUAAAAUCCGUAGAUAUCACUAGGAAUACCGAAAGCGAAGGCGAUCUCCUGGAACAUUACUGACGCUAAGGUGUGAAAGCGUGGGGAGCAAACGGGAUUAGAUACCCCGGUAGUCCCACGCCCUAAACGAUGAACACUAGUCGUCGGGAUGCUUAGUCCAUCUCGGCGGAUGCACUUAACAGAUUAAGUGUUCC